GGCCGGGUAGCUCAAUGGUAGAGCGUCUGAUUACACAAGUAUCCUUAUAGUAUCCUUAUGCCGUAAUCAGAAGGUAGCAGGUUCGAUUCCUGCCCUGGCCG
rnacentral:tRNA from 1 species